rnacentral:lncRNA from 1 species
AACAGACCAAUGGAGCGGGGACGUCCAGGGAGGAAGGCGGGGUGGGGGCGGUGGCCAAUGGGCCCACGGCGUGGGCGGGCCGAGGCGCUCCGGAAGCGGGCAGGGGAAAGUGGUGGCCGGCUCGAAGUGGGAGUACGGCGACCUGGGCGGAAAGCGGGACCUGGCGGGUGGGUACUCAGCCGGGCCGGGCCCUCGGAGCUGCAACUGGACUACGUCAAGAAGGUCAACUGCCACGAUUUCUCCAUGGUCGCCCUUUUUUCUGCGGCCACAGUACAGGACAGAUGGAAAGGAUCCAGAGUGCUCUGUGAAUAUGAGAUGCACUAUAUUUUCCAGAAAUUCCUGACUUUAUUGCGGAUGGAAUUUUGGUUUUUUCACCAGUUUUGCUGUGUACUGUGUGCUAAAAGCAAUGACCGCCACAGGAUCCUGUUUUGGAAUCUGCAUGGAGCUGAUGGUGACUAGGACCCCGGUGACUACAGGAACGUCCCAGCUAGCGGAUGGGGGUCGGUGGUUUUGUGUUGAGGACAGAUGCAGGCCCCUAGCCCUGUGAAAGCUAAGUGGAGGGACCAGGGCUGGGGAGGGAUUGGGAGGAGGAGGGGACAACUUGGCAAUUGUAGGAGGGGUUUUGAAGUUGUGUGGUAUUAGAAAGAACAUGUGCCUGGUGGCUCUGAGUAUACAUGGCAGCUCAGUGAAGUGUUUCUGGUUUUGCAGGCUGUGUGGGCUGCCUUUUGAAAUGGGUGAGUGUUUGAGGUGAGCUGGGUAAUGGAGAGGAGGCACACUGGGCUGGUGAUUUCUUGCACAUUCAAUGGUAUUUUUGUGUCUCUUGGUUUCUUAGGUACCACAAACAGAUUGGCUCUGGAAUCCAUGCAGAGAUUUCUGCCUGGCUUUCAGGGGCACGUUUCCCUGGCAGUCUGGUAGCAUCUCUCUGGUGCAGUGCUGCCAGCCAGAUGUCCCUCUCCCUUGGGUAGGACAGGAAAAAGCCCCCGGUCAAAUGAUGACUGGGCGUUUUGGAGACGGAGAGCACAAUGGUGUCAGUUCAGAGCUGGGCCAGUUAAAUUAGUGCCAAAGGAAAGUCAAACACUUUUAUAGUGUAUUUUUAUUGACUGUAUCUAAACGUACACAGAGCUUUCCAGGGAAAGGGAAGGGAGGAGGCGCUUCCCCCCCACCGGGCAGAGGGGUUUGUUACACUGUUGGGCUGAGAAGGUGUUCCAAGUGGCAUCAGUCAGUCUUAAUAGGGACUUGAAGCGUCGGGAGGGCUCUGGCUUUGGCAGGCUGUGCCGUCUUUGAAGCUGAGCUGUUUCCCCAGAAUCAUCCUGUAGCUCAGCUUCUGUCCUGUCCCUCAGUCUGAGGGAAUUCCUCUACUCUCUCCUCUGUGCUGUUUUGUUUGAUGCUGAACUACAGUUGGGGAUUGUUGUUUUGCAGGUGCUUCGUUGUCCACGUCUCAUGCUGCUUGAUAGCUGCCCCAGCCUGGGUUUGCAGCCAGUGGUGGGCCUGAGGGGAAGGGACCAGCCCUGGGUCUGGGCAUUUGGUGCUGUCUUUUUGCGGUGAAUAAAAAGGUGGGGGGAGGGUAUUUGGAGAGUGAU